CCUAAUAAGACGGUGCUCCUGUAAUAUUGAAUUGUCAUUUUAUUAUAUGCAUAAAAAGAUACAAUUGUUAUUCUGCUUGAUAUUUAAUUUACUUUAUGUAUAAAAUAAAUAUAUUAUUUUACUUGUCCAUUAAAUCCCCUCCACAUGGCUAAAUAUCAAACACAAUUACUAAAUAUCUUCUGUCUAGAAAUUUCCACUCAUACCUUUAAAUAACCCUUCAUCUGCAAUGGAUUCUGGCAUAUCGGUCUCCCCUUCAUAUUACUCCAAUUCUAUAUGGAAGUUCAUGAGGCUUUACUAUUAUUGUUAUAUAUAACUUUAGUGCUUUAUAUUAAUUUAAUUUACGUUUAUGCGUUGCAUAUGGUGAAGGUCCAUAGUUGAGCGAAUCACCUUAUAGUUGUUAGCUAUUGCUGACUCUUUUUUGAUAAUUAAUAAAAAAAUUCUUCGGGGGAACAGGGAAGUGAAACAGUUGGUACAGAGGUUCCUUUUUUCAUAUUCCGUAAGUUGUUCAUAAGUUAGGACAUGAUUUUCUUGUGUACUACAAUGUAGCAGGCAAAUAUGUCUUCUUUAUUUCUGUUUGUAGCCUCCUUCGCUUGAAAUUUCGUAUAAGAUGACUGUGCCUCCUAUAUAUCAUGGGGUUAUCAAUUCUGCUAUUAUACUCUUAAAGAACUAUGAAUCCAAAAUGAGUUGUUGAUCAGAAAGAUAAAAGAAUAUCCCUUAGAACACUAUAGUUGUCCAUGAUAGUUCCAAAAGAAUUGAAAAUUGUGCCUAAAUGUUAUUAGGAGUGGAGUAGUCAGAGUCACUUCUUCUAUUUUAUUUUCUGUACUCUUCAUCAAUGAAUGAUUCAUUUUCAAGUUCUUGGAUAACGUUAGGCUCGAUCAAUUUAACUAAGAGGAAAUAAGAAGAAUUUUCGAGUAAAAUAUAAGAAGAGAAAGGAGAACAUGCAUGGUACAUAAUGAGGAUUAGACUUGAGUAGUAAUUUAACAGAAGGCUGUACAGGUCUUGUUCAGUCACCAAAUCUACACUACACUCUAAAUCGAAGAAGCUCAAAAUAGUAAUAUGAGGUUUGAGAAUAUGAGAUAAAAAUUUAAGAGGAUUAAAAGAGAAUCUAAUCCUAAACUUCCGUGAAUCUUCUUAUUUAAUUUUGAAGAGGCACAAAAAAAUUAUGUUAACAUGAAGAAAAGUACAUUUCGGAUGAACUCAACCGUCCUGUAUGCAAAAAUCAAGAGUGUAUAUUACCAAUUUUAGUUUUCUCCAUUCUUUUUGCCAAGUUUCUUUUCUUAUCUGGAGUAGUAUAGGAAUAUUCAUAUGUUGUCCUUCGAUUACGCCUUUCAGCCUAGCCGUAAGAACUGAAAUGUCACAAUAUUUUUUUGACUUCGUGGUGUUGAAAUGUGGCACACAGUUAGUAAGGAGUCAAAUGGUUUUAACAUUGUAACAAAUAUAGUUAUGCCCACAAUCAAAUCAAAGAAAGCACAACUGCUUGGCAACUAUAAGGCCAGUACAUGAAUUGCACAUUAAUUUUUGUUUGCUAUUUAUCAAUUAUUGAACUUAAAUGGAAAAAAAACUAUAUGUUGUUUGUUACUAUUUUCAUUCCAUAUUCUCUUCUGCAAUACUUUUUAAAUCAGCCUUUCAUUUUUAGCAUUUUUAAUUUCUCGUGAAUUCCUUAUCAAAUAGCAUAGAAAUAUACAUAGCAGAAGAAAAGUAUUUUCCAUACAGACAAUCAUUUUAUACACUUUUUUAAGUAAAGAAAAUGGGAUCCCAAUAUAGUGGAGAGAAGUUCCCACUAUAUUGUGUGGCAAGAACGAGUUCGAAUAAAAAAAAUAAAGAUAGUACAGGCUACUGGCUACAGCAGUAUAAAGAUUCUUAUGGAUUUAAGUAGUAGAUACUUUAUAAGUAGUAGACUGUAACAAAAUGUUCAAAUUGAACUACAGUAACUAAGUGUGGAAUGCAAAAUGACGUUGGAGCAUAUUUGGUUGGUGGCCUGGAUGAAAUAAUAUGAGAUAAGUCAUGCACUGAUAAGAAUAAUGACUUAGUUGCGGCUAAGUGCAAUGGUACUUCAAUUCACAUGAAUUCUGUUUGGUAUUAUUGGUGUUUGCGUUAUUUUUUCAUAGUAUUGAAGGAUGGUUAGUUUGGUAAAUUACUUACUUCCAAGGAUUUUGUUGUACUAUGAGAAGGAGGAGAAAGAAUGACUUGCCUGAUAAAUAUCGGUGGAAGAAUGA